rnacentral:lncRNA from 1 species
GCCGAGGCUCGUGUCAGUGGAAGCUGGGGUGUCGGCGGGCGGCCGCGGCCGGGUCUAGCGGUGCCUGCGGAAGAAGGAGGAGGAGGGCUGGCGAUGAGAAGCAGCAGGGGGAAUCAAGGGCAAGAAGGGACCCAGAGGGGCAGGUGGCUGAGAUGCUGGCGUCCAGGUGACCCGAGGAAUCCUCUGGAGAUACAGGCCCGCGCAUGCGCGUGCUCGAGCGCUGAAGCCCAUUGCCCGCAGGGCGCUGGACUGGCGCCCCGGCCGGCGAGGCUGUCUAGUCCAGGCUCCAGGCCCCGGCUCUGGCCAGGCGCCGCCGCCUCCCGGUGCAGCUGAAAGUCGACGAAGAGGGCGGGGCGGGGGCGGCUUGUGGACUUCCACACUUUUCCUCUCUUCGGGCCAGUCUGGGGAGAGGGUGGCUAGCUGUGGCGGCGGCCAAUUACGUGGCGGACCUGCGGGGCUAAGCUGGCACGUCACUUCCGACUAGUGGAGUUUUUAGCCUUUUAACAUUCAAGGAUUAGAGCUCCCUCUUUGCCCACUAGCAGGGCAUUAGCUGGUGCUGAAGACAGUGGCUGCUUGGCGAGCCUGGAUCUCCAAGUGACCCCCUCAGCAACUCCUGAUGAACAGGACUGAAGCCAAUAUUAAAGCAAGUCAACCAAAGGUUCUCUGGUGUAGACAAGACAGCAAAAGGACAGACUACCUUGUGGAACCUAGCAUUGUUCUCCUUCUGCAGCACUAAGUAACAUUUGUUCUCCGUUAAGAUCUUUGCAAACCACACACAAGAAUUGCUGGUCAUCCUGCCAAUAGAUGCUGCUCACAGAACCAAAUUUCCUGUGCUGAAUUGUCACUCAUGGGCUUGAGAGUAGGAGACUGGAGACCAAGGUGGCUAGAAUCCAGUUGGGCCUGAUGUCUCCCUGUUGAAAGGGCUCCUUGUGGAAUGAAUAGCACAUGGCUCCUGUGGUGGAUCUGAUAGUGGCAUAGCACCAAGUGAUGCAGGCCUGCCAGGGGCCACAGACACAGAAGAUGCUCCCGGGGUCCCCCAUGUACUCCAGACACACUGCAGGCCACCUCUCCCAGCAGGUUGCCAGUCAUGGGCCCCAUCAUCAUGACUUCUGUCCAAGGUACUGUGUGCAGAAAUGUGAUUGAGAUUCAAGUCAGGGCCUCUCUGCCCUUUUCCCUCCAGAAACAAAACCAAGAUAAUUUAUCCUGAACACGGUGAAAAAAGGAAGGGAGGGAGGAGAAAAAGUCCGGGUCUCACCUGGGAUUCUCUGUCUCCUGCAACAUGAAGGAUUUAGCCUGGGAGGAGGUGGUGAGAACUCUGGGAGAGAAAAAAGAAGGAAAGAAUAGUUUUACCCAUGCUGAAGUUAAUUUAAACCUUCACCUAGAGAAGCAAAAAAAAAAAACCCACACUUUCCCAUUUUGUGCCUCCCUUCCUAGAGUUUUAGCCAAAGGUUUAGCUAAGUAAUUGGUUUUACCAGCGCACUCACUCCUCCUAUCCCAAGUCUGUUUGACUCCCUCCCCAUCAUCCUCCUCACCUCUUUUCAGGCAGGGUGGGGAUAGCAGCAGGAGGAGAUUUUGGGAGCCUGGCAACUCCUGCAAGGACCGCAGGACAGCCCCUCUGUGGGGAUGCGUGGUGCCCCAUCUGCCGCCCUUCUGAAGAAUGCACUGCCUUCACUUUUUACUGUGUUAGAGUCCAUCCAGACUGUUCUAUCCAAAAAAGUUUCUUUUUCCCCCACAGGCAAUCAGGAAAUGAUUCCUUUCCCGACUGCUUCUGUCUAGUGCCUGGGAAUCUUGAGUCAAUCCCUCAGUAAGUCAGUGACUAGGGAAAUCCCUCUCUGAGCCUCCCAGUUCAUGUUGCUUAGGGAACCUGAUAUUUUCGUGAAACCUGCCUACACAUGGGCAGCCCAACAGCAGAACAAAUGGUGGUGACCAAAGUGAACAAAGAAGUAUAGUUGUGCCAGCUUCGUAGUUGCCCAUGUGGACAAGUCAGCAGGAUCAGGACACGAGGAAGAGUAAAUGUGAGACAGUCAAUGUGACUUCUGCGAUAAACAGAUUUUUAAACCCCGAAAUUUUGCAAAAUUUUGGUGAAACCUGAACUUUCUUCGUUGCAUAUACUGGCACUAUCUGUACCAUCAUACAACUGUCUCACAUUAAAGCUAUUUUUCUUGGGCACUGAUGAGUAAGGGACUUGCACUUAGGAAUCUGUUACAGUGAGCACAGAAGCAGACCUGUGGGCUCAUAGUCUUCACCCCCCACCCAUAUAUACAAGAUGAACAGAGUGGAGGUUAAACAACUUGACUAAACAACACAGUUCAUGGUAAAGCCCAAGACUGUACCUGCCCAUCCACUGCCUUUUCCAUGUAUCCUGGAACUGAGCAUAGACCUCUUCCCAGGCAGAGCUGACAGCAAGUAAAGGAGAUCAUAAUCAGGGGACCAAACAACUUUGUCUAAAGUGUGAAUGUCACCUAAGGAGAAGCUGUGAGAUCAGAAGGGUGGGGCAGAGGAGCAGACACCAUGAGGGAGAGUCCUUGGGGGUACAUCUGCCAGACUGACACUGUCUGGCCUGGGCAGUGGAGGGGCUAGCAGGAACCACAGGUACUGGUGGUGUGGCUACUACCGUUACAACUGCCUGUGCUUGGACAUGGACCCUCUGCAAUAUGCGGCAGUUUCAUUCAUUGCCCCCUACAUUCUACACCAAGUAGAAAUGGAAGGCAAUUGGAUACUUCACAGACAAGAUCUAAGUGGAGAAGGAAUGCGUCCUGUGGCUGCAGAGAUCCUUGGAGCUUGGAGGGGAGAGCUUGAGCCCCACUGAUGAUGACCUCCCACAGCUCGCCAACUCAGCCCUCCCUAAGUCCCCAUCGGGGGCCAAUUCUCACUCUGGGGUUGGGGGGACUCCACCAUAGCUCAUCCAUCAUAGGGAUGUUGGUAUCUACUGUGGGUUGGGUAGGGCCGAUGUGCUGAGGAUGGCUCCCCCACAAGCAAGAGAUGUGGAUUUGGGGAGCUUCCCAUCUUGUGUUGAAGGAACAUAACUCAGAAUAAUAAGAGCCAACUAUAACAAACCCACAGCCAACAUCAUACUGAAUGGGCAAAAGCUGCAGGCAUUCCCCUUGAAAAGUGGCACAGGAUAAGGAAGCCCUUUCUCACCACUCCUAUUCAAUAUAGUGUUGAAAGUCCUGAUCACAGCAGUCAGGCAACAGAAAUAAUAAAGGGCAUCCAAAUAGGAAGAGAGGAAGUCAAACUAUCCUUGUUUGCAGACAGUAUGAUUCUAUAUCUAGAAAACCCCAUAGCCUCAGCCCAAAAGGUCCUUCAUCUGAUAAUUUCAGCAAAGUUUCAGGAGACAAAAUCAGUGUACAAAAAUCACUAACAUUCCUAUACACAGUCGCCAAGCCAAGAGCCAAAUCAGGAGCACAAUCCCAUUCAUAAUUGCCACAAAAAAGAAUAAAAUACCCAGGAAUGCAGCUAACCAAGGAAGUAAAGGAUCUCUACAAUGAGAAUCACAAACGCUGCUCAAAGAAAUCAGAGAUGACACAAACAAAUGGAAAAACUUUCCAUGCUCAUGGCUAGGAAGAAUCAAUAUCAUUAAAGUGGCCAUACUACCCAAAGCAAUUUAUAGAUUCAAUGCUAUUCCUAUCAAACUAUCAAUUACAUUUUUCACAGAACUAGAAAAAACUUAAAAUUCAUAUGGAACCAAAAAGCCUGAGUAGUCAAGGCAAUCCUAAACAAAAAGAACAAAGGUGGAGGCAUCACAUUACCUAACUUCAAACUACAGGGCUACCAUGACCAAAACAGCAUGGUACUGGUACAAAAGCAGACACACAGACCAGUGGGACAGAAUAGAGAGCCCAAAAAUAAGGCCACAAACCUACAGCCAUCUGAUCUUCAACAAAGUUGACAAAAACAAGCAAUGGGGAAAGGUCUCCCUAUUCAAUAAAUGGUGCUGGGAUAACUGGCUGGCCAUAUGCAGAAGAUCGUAACUGGACCCCUUUUACUAUGUACAAAAAUUAAGAUGGUUUAAAGAGUUAAAACCCAAAAUUAUAAAAAUCCUGAAGAUAACUUAGGCAAUACCAUUCUGGACAUAGGAACUGGCAAAUAUUUCAUGAUGAAGACACCAAAAGCAAUUGUAACAAAAGCAAAAAUGGACAAAUUGGAUUUAAGAGCUUUUUCAUAGCAAAAUAAACAACAGGGCAGACAAUCUACCAAAUGACAGAAAAUUUUUGCAAACUAUGCAUCUGACAAGGGGCUAAUAUCUAGCAUCUAUAAGGAAUUUAAACACAGUUACAGGAAAAAAAAAACCCACUCCAUUAAAAAAUGGGCAAAGGACAUGAACAGACACUUUUCAAAAAAGACAUACAUACAGCCAACUAGCGUGUUAAAGAAAACCUCAAUUAUCACUGAUCAUUAGAGAAAUGCAAAAUCAAAACCAUGAUGAGAUAUCAUCUGCCAGUCAGGAUGGCUACAAAAAAGUAAAAAAAUAAUAGAUGUUGGUGAGGUUAUGGAGAAAAGGAACUUAUACACUUGUUAGGAGUGUAAAUUAGUUCAAUCACUGUGGACAGCAGUGUGGUGAUUCCUCAGAGAGCUAAAAACAACUACCAUUUGACUCACCAAUCCCAUUACUGGAUAUUUACCUAAAGGAAUAUAAAUCAUUCCACCAUAAAGACACAUGCAAGUGUAUGUUCAUUGCAGCACUAUUAACAGUAACAAAGCUGGGCACAGUGGCUCACCUCACGACUGUAAUCCCAGCACUUUGGGAGGCUGAGGUAGGCGGAUCACCUGAGGUCGGCAGUUUGAGACCAGCCUGACCAACAUGGAGAGACCCCAUCUCUACUAAAAAUACAAAAUUAGCCAGGUGUGGUGGCUCAUGCCUGUAAUCCCAGCUACUUGGGAGGCCAAGGCAGGAGAAUUGCUUGAACCCAGGAGGCAGAGGUUGCAGUG